rnacentral:sRNA from 1 species
AAUACAAAUUUCGAAUAUCAAAACCCUCAACAGUUGUCGUCCUCCCAAGAAGAAGGAUAUUUUAUGGUUUUGAGAUCAAGGAGAAGAUGAGUUUUGGAAAUUUGAAGAAGAAGACAGUUUUUGGGAAUUGAAGAUAAAGAGGGUUUUCAAUUUUCAAUUUUGGGAAGAAGAAUGUUUUCAAUUUUCAAUUUGGAGAAGAUUAUAAUCUUUGACGUAAUUGAAAGUACCAAUUUCUUCUUCAAUUUGGUUUUAGAAGGUAAGAUUAUAAUAGUCUUUUCAUAUUUAUAAAUAAUUAAAUUGCAUUUUAUUUUUAAAAAUUUGGUCAGAAGCCUCUUGAACAAAAGGACAUUGACUGGCGGCCUUCACAACUCAUUUUCCUAAAUAAUAAUUAAUUAUAAAUAAAUAACUACUCUUUCAUCUUCCCUAUAUAGCAAAAGCCUAUGCGAACUCCCAAAUCGAAUUUCAGGAAGAAUAUAGAGAGCAAGCGACGACACCGUUUUGAACACGAAAAUAUAAGUAGGAAGUGAAGAAAAGUGUUAACGAAUUAAAAAGAACGACAAGAUGGUAAAGACUACGAAGCGAGGCAAAACUAUGAGCCCUACCGACGCUUACAGGAAGGAGCUCCGUAAAAAGGAAUUAAAAAGGGUACGUUUAUAUAUAUAUAUAUAUAUAUCCACCAUUUGAAUUUUAAUUAUUUUUCCUAAUUAUGGUUUUCUUUAAUUUCUUUGUCUUAAGUAUGCUUCAUUCCGAAAAUUCCACUGCUACUUUUGAUUUUAUAUUUUGAACGAAAGUUACCUUUUUAUUUGAUGUUUAGUGGGGCUGUCGAUCAAAUUUCUCUUUUUUCUGUAUUUUUAGCCCCCGUUUGGCCCCCAUUUUCUAGAAAUGAAAAUGCGUGGAA